ACAUGCAAGUCGAGCGGAGAUGAGGUGCUUGCACCUUAUCUUAGCGGCGGACGGGUGAGUAAUACUUAGGAAUCUGCCUAUUAGUGGGGGACAACAUCUCGAAAGGGAUGCUAAUACCGCAUACGCCCUACGGGGGAAAGCAGGGGAUCACUUGUGACCUUGCGCUAAUAGAUGAGCCUAAGUCAGAUUAGCUAGUUGGUGGGGUAAAGGCCUACCAAGGCGACGAUCUGUAACGGGUCUGAGAGGAUGAUCCGUCACACUGGGACUGAGACACGGCCCAGACUCCUACGGGAGGCAGCAGUGGGGAAUAUUGGACAAUGGGGGGAACCCUGAUCCAGCCAUGCCGCGUGUGUGAAGAAGGCCUUUUGGUUGUAAAGCACUUUAAGCGAGGAGGAGGCUCCCUAGACUAAUACUCUAGGAGAGUGGACGUUACUCGCAGAAUAAGCACCGGCUAACUCUGUGCCAGCAGCCGCGGUAAUACAGAGGGUGCAAGCGUUAAUCGGAUUUACUGGGCGUAAAGGGUACGUAGGUGGUCUUUUAAGUCGGAUGUGAAAUCCCUGAGCUUAACUUAGGAAUUGCAUUCGAUACUGAGAGACUAGAGUAUGGGAGAGGAUGGUAGAAUUCCAGGUGUAGCGGUGAAAUGCGUAGAGAUCUGGAGGAAUACCGAUGGCGAAGGCAGCCAUCUGGCCUAAUACUGACACUGAGGUACGAAAGCAUGGGGAGCAAACAGGAUUAGAUACCCUGGUAGUCCAUGCCGUAAACGAUGUCUACUA
rnacentral:rRNA from 1 species